UGUAUUUAUAGUUUUAGGUUGGAUGCUGUUGUAGUUUGUUUUCUGUUGUUGUUUAUAAAAGUCAUGAUCAAAAAGCAACUUGGGGAGGAGAGCGUUUAUUUCAUCUUAGUUUACAGUCCAUCAUGAAGUAAAAAAGAGACAGGAACUCCAGUAGGAACCUGGAGACCGGAAAUGACGUACAGAAUAUGGGGGAAUAAUCAUUAGUGCCUUGCUCCUGGGCUCCUGUUUAGCAAUAUUUCCUGUACAGCUCAGGCCCACUUGCCUAGGAAUAGUACUACCCACAGUAUUUUGGAUCGUCCUACAUCAUUACCAAUCAAGAAACUGCUCCCAGACAUGCCCACCAGCCAGUCUGAGACACCCAGUUCUUUAACUGAGGUUUCUCUGUUCUAGAUAUUUCAAGUUGAGAACCAAGACUAGCCAUCACACGUAUUUUGUAAGGGUGGAUAUAUUUUUACAUGUUGGGUAUAUCUUAGACACUGGUAUUAGUAUGGGGUCUAUUCCUGAUCAAUUUCACAAUCUGAUUUUGAAGUUAAGGAAACAAAAACCACAGCUUCUGUGGGUAGAGUUCUAUAUUAGGUUGAGCCUGCAUUAAGAAGAGUGCCAAGGAGUAUCACCUCCCUGUAGAUUAGAGGUCAAAGAAACAAGGUCCAUCCUGCUGCAGGGUAGCCAAGCCCAGGAACGCCAGUCUCCCUGUGUCUUACAGACCAGUCUGCAAUGAGCCAGUUGGUGCUUUGUUCUCUGUUUGGCUAAGGUGUUAUCAAUUGAGGAAAGAGGGUCGACUAAGUUUCAACAAAGGCACAGGGGUCAUCUCAGCCCUUGGGAGACAGACACUGGAGGAUUAACCAGUUCAUCUCCAUAGAACAGGUUCCCAGAGGGAUCGAGUUGCCUGGAAGUGGUCCACAGAGGCAUUCUGCGGGAAUCCUCUUCUGAGGCAAAGGCGUUCACUGCAUUGUUUAUGAGUGGAACAAUAAAAGCUGGAACUCGAGCUGCACGAGGAAAGAACGGUGCGCCUCCGGUCACACCCGAGGCUAGAAAACAGUGGCUACAGGGAGUGGCCACCAGAGGUUCUGAUUCCCCAACCUAUGCCCAGGUGUGACCUUCAUCCCGGGGGACUCCCAGUUCCGGAAGUUACAAAGGUCUAAGUAC
rnacentral:lncRNA from 1 species